AGUGAACGCUGGCGGUAGGCCUAACACAUGCAAGUCGAACGGCAGCACAGGAGAGCUUGCUCUCUGGGUGGCGAGUGGCGGACGGGUGAGGAAUACAUCGGAAUCUACCUUUUCGUGGGGGAUAACGUAGGGAAACUUACGCUAAUACCGCAUACGACCUACGGGUGAAAGUGGGGGACCGCAAGGCCUCACGCGAUUAGAUGAGCCGAUGUCCGAUUAGCUAGUUGGCGGGGUAAUGGCCCACCAAGGCGACGAUCGGUAGCUGGUCUGAGAGGAUGAUCAGCCACACUGGAACUGAGACACGGUCCAGACUCCUACGGGAGGCAGCAGUGGGGAAUAUUGGACAAUGGGCGCAAGCCUGAUCCAGCCAUACCGCGUGGGUGAAGAAGGCCUUCGGGUUGUAAAGCCCUUUUGUUGGGAAAGAAAUCCUGUCGAUUAAUGCUCGGUGGGGAUGACGGUACCCAAAGAAUAAGCACCGGCUAACUUCGUG
rnacentral:rRNA from 1 species